UACGUAGGCAGCAAGCGUUGUUCGGAAUUUCUGGGCGUAAAGCGAGUGUAGGCGGUCUGCCAAGUCCGUUGUGAAAUCUCCCGGCUCAACUGGGAGGGUGCGUCGGAAACUGGCAGGCUUGAGUGCGGGAGAGGAGAGUGGAAUUCCUGGUGUAGCGGUGAAAUGCGUGGAUAUCAUGAGGAACACCGGUGGUGAAGACGGCUCUCUGGACCGCCACUGACGCUGAGACUCGAAAGCGUGGGGAGCAAACAGG
rnacentral:misc_RNA from 1 species